UGUAGUCAUGUGCAUAAAGAAGUGCAGGAAGCAUAGCUUUAUCUGCAGAACUCAUUAGCACUACAGACUAUAAUUAUGGCGACCAGAUUAUAUGAACUACUAUCAUUCUUCUAUUUUGUUCAGUUAUCAUUUGGUAAGAUCUCAUUCAUCGGUCCAGCAGAAACAUUGGAGACUCUACCAACAAGUCUGGAUGGCCAUGGUCUACAGACAUUAACAAUUCUCGAUUUCAGUAUGCUACCAGUGACACUACAACGUGAAAAUUAUACCUCAACAUGGACUCUACCUAAUGGGGAAAUGGUAUCUGAGGAAAAUCAAAGCCUAAGUCCACUGAUUUUUGUCUUCGAAGGACAGAUUGUAAUAAAUACUACAGUUGUACCAAGCAGAACUCUACUGGUUCAAGGCCCGUCCUACACUGAUGCUGGUGUGUACAGAUGUAGUGUACAGGACGACCGCAACCCAGGCUCUCCACCAAUAGAAGGAACAAUAGAGCUAAGGCUGAUAUUAACACUAACUGCUAUAAACUCAAGCGUGACAAUAUUGGACAAUGCUUCAUUUGUGGAACUAAGUUGUGAUAUGAGCAACUACAUUCGACCUGACGAUCAACUGCAAUGAUUCAGAGAUGGAGAAAUGAUAACCUCAGGGCAGGCCAGACGACAAAUAACUGUCAUGAAUGGAAACGCCGAUCAAGGACAGUUUGAAGGUCUUUUUACCCAAUCAUCGAAAGUUUCGGUGCUCACAAUCUCAAAUCCUGUUUUAAAUGAUACUGGAACAUACAAUUGCCGUGUGAUGGGGACCACAGAAUCUGUUAGUAUUGAACUACUUGUUCAAAGAUCAGAAACAGCUACAAACCCUACAACACAAGGAAUAACUUCGUCUACACCUGUUACAGAAUUAACGUUUCCCCUCCCUGCCCUAAUCGGAGGAAUAGCUGGAAUAUUGGCACUCAUUGUCCUCAUACUCGUCAUAGUAAUCGUGGUGGUUAGUAUAAAACAUAGGUGUGUGGCAAAGAGAAAAAAGAAAAAUAACCAUACUGAUGAUCCUAUGUACGACUACCCAGACGAGCUUCCACCACCUCCAUUACCACAGCCCAGGACCAAUCAGAUUCAAGUGAUAACCAACACAGCCUACAAUCUGACUACGUUACAUAAUGAUGUACCGGCCGCGGAUGCCACUUAUGAGACAACAAUGAACACUACCAACCCAGCAUAUGGUCUAACACUAUCAGCAAGUGCAGGCAUCUCUAUUGCAGUUAAUUCAGCUCAGCAACAAGAUGAAACACCUCCUGCUACCAACCCAACCUUUGAAGAUGAAGAGAUUUUCUAUUUUCCAUGUGUUACUCACCCAACAUACAAAGAGGAAGUGUAUAAUCAUAACGAUUGAGAACUCGAUGAGUGCAUGUACCUUAUUUAAUGUGCUAUCUAUACUCCUUGAAUACACCUUCAAGUAGCAUGAUAAUUAUUAUUGAGUCAGAACAA